rnacentral:rRNA from 1 species
GGUUAACGCUGGCGGCGUGCCUAACACAUGCAAGUCGAACGGUUCUAAGCGCGAGCUUAGGAUAGUGGCGAACGGGUGAGUAAAAGGUAGGAAUCUACCCCUUGGACGGAGAUAGCUACUGGAAACGGUAGGUAAACUUCGAUAAGCCCGAGAGGGGAAAGUGGUGAGACAGCCGAGGGAUGAGCCUACUCUCCAUCAGGUAGUUGGUGAGAUAAAAGCUUACCAAGCCGAUGACGGAUAACCGGUGUGAGAGCAUGAACGGUCACAAGGGCACUGAGAGACGGGCCCUACUCCUACGGGAGGCAGCAGUUGGGAAUCUUAGGCAAUGGACGAAAGUCUGACCUAGCGACGCCGCGUGAGGGAAGAAGGCCUUCGGGUUGUAAACCUCUGUCAUGGGGAAGAAGUAAGUGACGGUACCCAAGAGGAAGCCCCUGCUAACUACGUG